AUCGGGGGAGCUUGCCGCUGAGAGGGGGCCGAAUUCGGCCUCGACCCUGGAACCUGAACCGGAUAAUGCCGGCGUAGGAAGAUGUU
rnacentral:ncRNA from 1 species